rnacentral:rRNA from 1 species
UACGUAGGGUGCAAGCGUUAAUCGGAAUUACUGGGCGUAAAGCGUGCGCAGGCGGUUCUAUAAGACAGAUGUGAAAUCCCCGGGCCAUCCACUGGGAACUGCAUUUGUGACUGUAGAGCUGGAGUACGGCAGGAGGGGGAUGGAAUUCCGGCGUGUAGCAGUGAAAUGCGUAGAUAUGCGGAGGAACACCGAUGGCGAAGGCAGGU